CUAACUCAAAUUUGUGUGAAGUUAGAACACUUGCGUACGUUUGCCGCUAGGGGCGCUGUUCCAACUGCAUACAAAUUUGAGUUA
rnacentral:pre_miRNA from 1 species